UACGAAGGGGGCUAGCGUUGUUCGGAAUCACUGGGCGUAAAGCGCACGUAGGCGGAUGUGUCAGUCGAGGGUGAAAUCCCGGGGCUCAACCUCGGAACUGCCUCUGAUACAGCACAUCUUGAGUCCGGAAGAGGUGGGUGGAAUUCCUAGUGUAGAGGUGAAAUUCGUAGAUAUUAGGAAGAACACCGGUGGCGAAGGCGGCCCACUGGUCCGGUACUGACGCUGAGGAGCGAAAGCGUGGGGAGCGAACAGG
rnacentral:rRNA from 1 species